rnacentral:snRNA from 1 species
AUGGUUGUGGAGAUCUGA